rnacentral:lncRNA from 1 species
CGUCAAUACAAGAUCAGGUAUCUCAUUAAAACAAUUUGUUAUUAAAAUUUUCAAUUUGGGAUAAUUAUAAUUGCUGACAUAAAAUUAGAUAUCUGAUUCUUAUGGGAUGAAUUGUUUUUAACUGCAAGCAUUCCAAGCUCUGAUUGAUUUGUUGUUUCUGUCAUAUUGUCAAUAACCUCCAUGAGACAGGAGCAUUGACCAUGUAACAUUAUUUUAUAUGUAUUCAUUUAUUCUCAGUGCUUGUAAGUAUAAACUAAGAUAAAGUAAGAAAUUUAAUUAUUUGAUUUUCUUUUGACUAAAAUGUUUGAUAAAGAUGCAAGCAAGACUUAUGUAUUGUUUAUUGUGAUGUUUUAUAUUU